ACCAUAAACUUAUCAAUCUAAAUCAAUUCUUAAAGAUUAUGCUCGUCAGCAAUAGUAGUCACAUCUAACAUCAGAUAUACAAAGAAAUAACUUCCGAAGAUAUUUUCCAACAGGUUCCAUCAAAAGGGAGAAAUAACUUCCGAUCAUUUAUGACUCAACUCUCAAGUCAUUUUUCUUGCACUUACUAUCAACAUUUAUACCUAAAAGUUUCAUCAGAACAAUACCAAAAUUUUUAAUAUUAUGGAUAGUUAAUA
rnacentral:misc_RNA from 1 species